rfam:Cavia porcellus supercont2_1 genomic scaffold, whole genome shotgun sequence.
CAAAAGGAUCUUCUCAGAUCCAUUCAAUAACGAGGGGAAAUCUCU